AUCAUUGAACGCUGGCGGAAUGCUUUACACAUGCAAGUCGAGCGGCAGCGCGGGGGCAACCCUGGCGGCGAGCGGCGAACGGGUGAGUAAUGUAUCGGAACGUACCCAGUCGUGGGGGAUAACUAUCCGAAAGGAUAGCUAAUACCGCAUACGUCCUGAGGGAGAAAGCGGGGGACCGAAAGGCCUCGCGCGAUUGGAGCGGCCGAUAUCGGAUUAGCUAGUUGGUGAGGUAAAGGCUCACCAAGGCGACGAUCCGUAGCUGGUCUGAGAGGACGACCAGCCACACUGGAACUGAGACACGGUCCAGACUCCUACGGGAGGCAGCAGUGGGGAAUUUUGGACAAUGGGGGCAACCCUGAUCCAGCCAUUCCGCGUGAGUGAAGAAGGCCUUCGGGUUGUAAAGCUCUUUCAGCAGGAACGAAACGGUGGUCCUUAAUACGGGCUGCUAAUGACGGUACCUGAAGAAGAAGCACCGGCUAACUACGUGCCAGCAGCCGCGGUAAUACGUAGGGUGCGAGCGUUAAUCGGAAUUACUGGGCGUAAAGCGUGCGCAGGCGGUUCUAUAAGACAGAUGUGAAAUCCCCGGGCUUAACCUGGGAACUGCGUUUGUGACUGUAGGACUCGAGUGUGGCAGAGGGGGGUGGAAUUCCACGUGUAGCAGUGAAAUGCGUAGAGAUGUGGAGGAACACCGAUGGCGAAGGCAGCCCCCUGGGUCAACACUGACGCUCAUGCACGAAAGCGUGGGGAGCAAACAGGAUUAGAUACCCUGGUAGUCCACGCCCUAAACGAUGCGAACUAGGUGUUGGGGAAGGAGACUUUCUUAGUACCGCAGCUAACGCGUGAA
rnacentral:rRNA from 1 species